UAUUGCUCAAUGGGCGCAAGCCUGAAGCAGCGACGCCGCGUGGACGAUGAAGGUCUUCGGAUCGUAAAGUCCUUUUCUGUGUGACGAGCAAGGACGGUAGCACAGGAAUAAGUCUCGGCUAACUACGUGCCAGCAGCCGCGGUAAAACGUAGGAGACAAACGUUAUCCGGAGUUACUGGGCGUAAAGGGCGUGUAGGUGGUUCUGUAAGUCUGGCGUGAAAUUUCUCGGCUUAACCGAGGCAGGUCGUCGGAUACUGCGGGGCUAGAGGACGGUAGAGGCGUGUGGAAUUCCGGGUGUAGUGGUGAAAUGCGUAGAGAUCCGGAGGAACACCAGUGGCGAAGGCGACACGCUGGGCCGUACCUGACACUGAUGCGCGACAGCAUGGGGAGCAAAC
rnacentral:rRNA from 1 species